GUGCUCUUCCUAUCUGCAGUUUCUGUGCUAUGGUGGGGCCUGAAACCUGAUCUCUAAAAUUCUUCAUAGAGAAUUUUUUAGCAGGAAGGAGCAGAAUUGAGCAGACACAACUUUUUCCAAAAUUUUUGACAUAAAAGGA